GAUUAUGGCUCAGGAUGAACGCUAGCGGCAGGCUUAACACAUGCAAGUCGAGGGGCAGCGCGGGUAGCAAUACCUGGCGGCGACCGGCGCAAGGGUGCGUAACGCGUGAGCAAUCUGCCCGUAUCAGGGGGAUAAGCGAUGGAAACGUCGUCUAAUACCGCAUAACACAUUGGAUGGCAUCGUCCGAUGUUGAAAGCUUCGGUGGAUACGGAUGAGCUCGCGAGACAUUAGUAGUUGGCGGGUAACGGCCCACCAAGACCGCGAUGUCUAGGGGAACUGAGAGGUUGGUCCCCCACACUGGAACUGAGACACGGUCCAGACUCCUACGGGAGGCAGCAGUGAGGAAUAUUGGACAAUGGCCGGAAGGCUGAUCCAGCCAUGCCGCGUGAAGGAUAAGGUCCUAUGGAUUGUAAACUUCUUUUGAGAGGGAGCAAUAAGGUGUACGUGUACACCGAUGAGAGUACCUUUCGAAUAAGCAUCGGCUAACUCCGUGCCAGCCGCGGC
rnacentral:rRNA from 1 species